UAAAAUAAACAAUUUACUUAGCAAAUGGUGAUAAUGUUUGUUAAUGAAAGAGAGUACGGGACAAAUUAACAUUUAAACCUUAAACUAGCAGCGCACGUCACUUUCUGAAUGAGGUGCGCGACGUGCGCGUGCCCGUCAUUUUGUAACGGUCAACUUCCAGCGGACGGACACGGAGGAAAGGGCCUGACAUCCACCAGUUGAGUCCAUGAUUCAGGGAAGAGACAGUCUGGGCAGCAGCAACAAGACAACUAUUACAAGUAGAGAUGGGUUUCAAGAACUGACACAACCACAUAUCCUCCAAAUCAUCUCUGCGUGGAUGGCAGCAAGGAUCCAGGAUCAAGAGAUCAUUCUUCAUGGAGACUGUUCCACAGGAAGCAGUUUCUCCUGGAUUUGAGGGAAAGAUUAAAAACAAGGAGGUCUGGGAAUGACUGAAGGGAUCUGACAGCAGUGAGGGAAGGAAGUAAUCACCAGAAUCUCAGAGGAUGUUGACAGCAGGCCCAGGAUGAAGAAGAGGAGGAAGAACACGUUUAACAAUUUUCUCAUUAGCUUGCCAUGUGUUAUAAUAAAAACAAUGAACAUGACUACAAUAAUAUGCUAAAUGUUAUUAAAAGAUUCCAGUUUGCAAGAAGUCUGAGUGUCUGACUCUACACUAGAGGAACUCUUUUCUGAAGAAGAUCAGGUGCUGAGAAGGAGCCUUGUUCUACAGCAAAACACUGCAAGCCUCCUGUCCUUCCCUCAGAAGAGCCUGUCUUCUGCUGCUGGGGUAAGAAACACACUCUUCCUCUUCUCUAUCAGCUGUCCAGCACCUAACUCUGCCUCCUCCGCACUGUCUGAAAGAGUCUUCUCCACAGUCAGUAAUCACAGAUUCUUCUGAGAAAGUCGAUAUGUUCAUUUUCUUAAAAAACUUUGUUUUUUUCGGGUGGGACAAAUAAUACAGGAGAGAUGCUAGAAAUCUCUAUAUUGUUCAUUUUUCAUAUCUUUACGCUUUAUGAAUGUUCUUCUUCUGAGAAGCUCAAAAAUUAUGGUUCUUUGGUAAUUGCUUUAUUGUUUAGGUUUAUCCUCUGAUAGUGAGCACAGAGCCCUGAUCAUGACAUGCAAGAAAAAGAAAGAAAUCAUGUCCAUGAUUUACUAAUUCAUUCCCUCUAUGUACUAAAACGUGCACGAUUACUUUUACAUUUCAUUGAUUUGCUAAAUCGUAUGCACAAUUUACUAAUUCUUUCUCUUGAUGUAUAAAUAGUGUACACGUUUUAGCAAAUCGAGGGAAUGAAAUAGAAAAUCGUGUGCAUGAAUUAGCCUAAAUUUUUUCCUGCAUGUCGUGUAAUUAAAGCACAUCACCACCAGACAUUUAUACCAGGAGCCUCAUAUAUGACGCUCACAGUUUUACUUUGUGCAGUAUCUCGGUGCAGUAUCUGCUGAAUUGUUUCAUAUCUAUUUAUCAUGUAUUUUUCGUUGCACUAAAUUAUGUUGUAUAAAUAAGUUUACUGACAAUUAUUUUUAAUUUUCACUAAUAACGUCAUUAACCAUCUCCCCAUCUUUAAGACAAAAAUUCUCUAUUGUUUAUAUUGUGUAAUCUAUGAAUUUAUGUGUUUAGUUUUCUGUGCUCAUAACUUAGUAACAUUUUGCAUGGUUAAAGAACAGGUGCAAUGUUCAAAAUGUUUUUAUACAAAGUAGUGCUGAAUAAAUAUUGAUUUGUGAAUGAAUUCAGUGUGU